rnacentral:rRNA from 1 species
AUAGCGUAUAUUAAAGUUGUUGCAGUUAAAAAGCUCGUAGUUGAAUUUUAGGCUUGGUUGGACGGUCUGCUCUAGGGUUUGUACUGUCCUGACCGGGUCUUACCUUCUGGUGAGCUGUCGUAUUGUUUACUCAGUGCGGCAGGGAACCAGGACUUUUACUUUGAAAAAAUUAGAGUGUUUAAAGCAGGCAUUCGCUUGAAUACAUUAGCAUGGAAUAAUAGAAUAGGACUUUGGUUCUAUUUUGUUGGUUUCUAGGACCGAAGUAAUGAUUAAUAGGGAUAGUUGGGGGCAUUAGUAUUUAAUUGUCAGAGGUGAAAUUCUUGGAUUUAUUAAAGACUAACUUCUG